rnacentral:rRNA from 1 species
UACAGAGGGGGCAAGCGUUGUUCGGAAUUACUGGGCGUAAAGGGCGCGUAGGCGGCCUGCUAAGUCGAACGUGAAAUCCCUGGGCUCAACCCAGGAACUGCGUCCGAUACUGGUUGGCUUGAAUCCGGGAGAGGGAUGUGGAAUUCCAGGUGUGAGCGGUGAAAUGCGUAGAUAUCUGGAGGAACACCGGUGGCGAAGGCGACAUCCUGGACCGGCAUUGACGCUGAGGCGCGAAAGCCAGGGGAGCAA